rnacentral:rRNA from 1 species
UACGUAGGGUGCGAGCGUUAAUCGGAAUUACUGGGCGUAAAGCGUGCGCAGGCGGUGAUGUGAGUCAGGUGUGAAAUCCCCGGGCUCAACCUGGGAACUGCAUCUGUGACUGCAUCGCUGGAGUGCGGCAGAGGGGGAUGGAAUUCCGCGUGUAGCAGUGAAAUGCGUAGAUAUGCGGAGGAACACCGAUGGCGAAGGCAGUCCCCUGGGCCUGUACUGACGCUCAUGCACGAAAGCGUGGGGAGCAAACAGG